rnacentral:rRNA from 1 species
ACAGCAGUAGCCGCGGGAAUACGUAGGUCCCGAGCGUUGUCCGGAUUUAUUGGGCGUAAAGCGAGCGCAGGCGGUUAGAUAAGACUGAAGUUAAAGGCUGUGGCUUAACCAUAGUACGCUUUGGAAACUGUUUAACUUGAGUGCAGAAGAGGAGAGUGGAAUUCCACGUGUAGCGGUGAAAUGCGUAGAGAUGUGGAGGAACACCAGUGGCGAAGGCGACUCUCUGGUCUGUAACUGACGCUGAGGAGCGAAAGCGUGGGGAGCGAACAGGAUUAGAUACCCCCGUAGUCCCUGUCUCUUAUACA